rnacentral:tRNA from 1 species
AUUUAUAUAGUUUAAACUAAAACAUUACAUUUUCAUUGUAAUAAUAAAAUAAAUAUAAUUUUUAUAAAUA